rnacentral:rRNA from 1 species
CAGUCGCCACGGUAAUACAGAGGGUGCGAGCGUUAAUUGGAUUUACUGGGCGUAAAGCGUGCGUAGGCGGCUAAUUGAGUCGGAUGUGAAAUCCCCGAGCUUAACUUGGGAAUUGCAUUCGAUACUGGUUAGCUAGAGUGUGGGAGAGGAUGGUAGAAUUCCAGGUGUAGCGGUGAAAUGCGUAGAGAUCUGGAGGAAUACCGAUGGCGAAGGCAGCCAUCUGGCCUAACACUGACGCUGAGGUACGAAAGCAUGGGGAGCAAACAGGAUUAGAUACCCCUGUAGUCCCUGUCUCUUAUAC